rnacentral:rRNA from 1 species
AUUGAACGCUGGCGGAAUGCUUUACACAUGCAAGUCGAACGGCAGCACGGGGCAACCUGGUGGCGAGUGGCGAACGGGUGAGUAAUACAUCGGAACGUGCCCAAUCGUGGGGGAUAACGUAGCGAAAGUUACGCUAAUACCGCAUACGAUCUACGGAUGAAAGCGGGGGAUCGCAAGACCUCGCGCGAAUGGAGCGGCCGAUGUCAGAUUAGGUAGUUGGUGGGGUAAAGGCUCACCAAGCCAACGAUCUGUAGCUGGUCUGAGAGGACGACCAGCCACACUGGAACUGAGACACGGUCCAGACUCCUACGGGAGGCAGCAGUGGGGAAUUUUGGACAAUGGGCGCAAGCCUGAUCCAGCCAUGCCGCGUGAGUGAAGAAGGCCUCGGUGUAAG